GUGCCAGCCGCCGCGGUAAUACGGAGGAUGCGAGCGUUAUCCGGAUUCAUUGGGUUUAAAGGGUGCGUAGGCGGAAGUAUAAGUCAGGGGUGAAAGUUUGUGGCUCAACCAUAAAAUUGCCUUUGAUACUGUAUUUCUUGAGUACAUUUGAGGUAGGCGGAAUGUGUUGUGUAGCGGUGAAAUGCUUAGAUAUAACACAGAACACCGAUUGCGAAGGCAGCUUACUAAACUGUCACUGACGCUGAUGCACGAAAGCGUGGGGAUCGAACAGGAUUAGAUACCCGCGUAGUCCC
rnacentral:rRNA from 1 species